CACCCUUCAUUUGUUAAUUUUCCAGAAGUUGCAGGUGGUUUCACAUGUCCCGCUGCCGGAGAAAUAGCCAAUGCCGGUUCUUUCUCGAGGCACGCUCAUCCAGACGACUGCAGAAAAUACUAUAUCUGCCUUGAAGGACAAGCCAGAGAAUACGGUUGUCCCAUUGGUACUGUAUUUAAAAUUGGAGAUGCUGAUGGUACUGGUAACUGCGAAGAUCCAGAAGAAGUACCUGGAUGCGAGGACUACUACGGAGACUUGGACUUGAAGAGCAUCCGCAAGAGCGAACUGUUAGCAGGCCUUCAAAGUAGCGGAUCAUCGCGUUCGGGUCCCCAAGCUAACACCGCCCCCAAAAAACCUAGGCCCGCUCCUGCGUCGCGUAAUUCGCCCGAGCCAGCAGGCAACUAGAUUUGUACAAUAGUUUUAUUUUUAAAUCCUCGAAAAUGAAAUUUUUCUACUCAGAAAUACGUGAAACAAAUCUAAACGAAGUCUACUGUACUCUUAUUGGAUAUCAUCCAGAAUGCAUUCCGGUGAAGAUAGCUAAAAAUGAUGAAUGUCAUUGACAUUGACGUUGACAUAGAGCAUUCCGACAUGCUGUCAAAAUUAAAUCAAUAUGGAGGCUGGGAGGCAAACAUAAAUGUUAUUCUGUUAAUUCUUAAUGUGUUUUAGAUCAUUUUAGUUACGUUUAUUUGUAAUUUUGUUUUAUACAAGGAUUCAUUUAACAUUUUCACUGAAAGAAUUAAUUUAAAAAGACAAUAUGCCUUAUGUCUCUGUAUUGAAGUGUAGACUGCAAAAGUAAUUGUCAUAGGGCCGUUUGCACCGACUAUAUUAAGGCUAUCUUAAGAUUAAGGCCUGUGUGUCAAACUCGAUUUAAACCUCACUUAAUUUAAGUUUUCUUAAGCCGCCGAAUUUGGAGGUUUAAAUCGAGUUUGAUAUACGGUGCAGCGAAAAAAUUUACUUUAAGCGGGCCUUAAUCUUAAGCUAGCCUUAAUAUUAUAGUCGGUGCAAACGGCCCAUAAAGUUCAGUUUUAUCGGUUACAGUCAAAUAUAUCAAAUCUUCUUUUUAAAAAUCCCUCAGAUCUUAUCGAAUCAAGUCAAACGCAUCCUAUAUAUGUAGAGUAUAGAGGGUUAUAUUAGGCAGGUGGCAGUUUUUGCCACUUGGCCAAGUUUUCGCAAGCUGUAAAUUUUCGGCACUUUGUGGCAUAAUAGUACAAUUUUUAUGUAAAAAACUAGUUUUGGCAAACAACUCAUACAGAUAAACAUACAAGGCGUAUAUUUAUACACUCUCAGUUUAGAUUUGUUUUACAAGAAAGAAACCUUUUGAAAUUUCAAGGGUUGCAAUUUAGAAAAUUUUCAUUUUUUAAUAUUCGAACUGCGAAUGAGGUAAUUUGUGGCCCUAAAUUUUUACCUAUUUAAUUGUUAGACAUAAUUUAAAUAUGUGGGUCCCAAAAGCUCGUUCUUUAUUUAAAUUUGCUCCAGUGUGGGACAGGGAUGAUUGGAAAAUCAGAAAUCAUUUAAUUCACCUCUAUUCAUCCCGCCAAUUUUUUGCGUACACUUGACGUAUGACGUUAUUGAUAUAUCCCAAUUAUAUGUGUCAGUGACAUAUGACAUAAAUAUAUUAUAGGUCAUACGUCAAGUGUCCGAAAGAAAAUGGCGGUGAUGAAUUUACAUUUUCUUUGCAUUUUAUUGCACAUGUAGCUUUUGUUAAGUUUUUUACAUACCUCGCAGUAUUAUUUAAAUUCAUGCUAUUUCUUGUACCAUUUGCAUUGGAAUAUUUACGUGGUCUUCCUAAGCUUAGUAUUAAAUUGUGUUAUACAUAUUUUAAUUGUUUUUGGAAAAUUAGUUAUAAUUAAUAAUAGGGGGACCAUGUAAAUUAAAAAUGCUUUAAAUGUUUUUUGUAAGCUAAUUGUUGCUAAUUUAUUUUUCAUUCAAGUGCUGAAAGAAUAUCAUAACCAUCAAUAAUUCAUAGUAGUUUGUGAUUAUUUGUUCAUGUAUUAAAAAAUAACUUCAUUAUUUCGAAUAUCAAAUCUUAAUUAUAUUGAAUUUCAUAUGCCGAUACAUAUAGGGCUUUUCAUCGAUUGUCAUUUGUUUCGAGCUUCUGUCAUAUGUUGUAUAAUCUGUGUAUAAUAUUAGUAUACACGGGUUAUACGACAUAUGACAGAAGCUCGAAAUAAAUGAGUGUGAAUGAAAAGCCCUAUAGACAUGCAACAAAAGCUAGAAGUGAACCUGUUCUCGAAACACUGCAUUUCUUUAUGCAUAUUACGGAACACAUUCUUGUUGCGACAUGUUACGUGAUUGCCACUUGAGGUUGCACUCCAAUUUUUUUACACCGCAUGCUGCAAUGUUACGCAAUUGAGUUCGAUUCGCUUUUUUGCAUGAUAUGAGUAUAAGGUCCAGCGCCCACGACGCAACUAUUUUAAAAUAACGGUUGAAAACUAGUUGAAAAAUAGUUGCAAACCAGUUGGAAUCCAGUUGAAAUCCAGUUUCCAAACAGUUGCGCAGUGGGAGCUGGACCUAAGGCACAACUUGAAAAACUUCUGAUUUCUCAUUCAUUGUCGUUUUUACCAGUUCCUCACUGUUCGCUUCUGUAUUUACAGAAAAUGUUUGGAAUUAUUUGUUUCGUUGAACGGUACAAAAAUAACUUUUUUAUAAAUAUAAAAUAAAAAUUCUUAAAAAUUA
rnacentral:lncRNA from 1 species